rnacentral:rRNA from 1 species
CUGACGUUAGCGGCGGACGGGUGAGUAACACGUGGGUAACCUACCUAUAAGACUGGGAUAACUCCGGGAAACCGGGGCUAAUACCGGAUAAUACAUGAAACCGCAUGGUUUCAUGAUGAAAGACGGUUUUGCUGUCACUUAUAGAUGGACCCGCGGCGUAUUAGCUAGUUGGUAAGGUAACGGCUUACCAAGGCAACGAUACGUAGCCGACCUGAGAGGGUGAUCGGCCACACUGGAACUGAGACACGGUCCAGACUCCUACGGGAGGCAGCAGGU